GCCCGUGAUUCGGCGAAAAGUCCAUUGAACCUUAUCAUUUAGAAGAAGGAAAAGUCGUAACAAGGUUUCCGUAGGUGAACCUGCGGAAGGAUCAUUG
rnacentral:rRNA from 1 species